CCUACGGGUGGCUGCAGUGGGGAAUCUUGCGCAAUGGGGGAAACCCUGACGCAGCGACGCCGCGUGAGUGAUGAAGGCCUUCGGGUUGUAAAGCUCUGUGGAGAGGGACGAAUAAGUGUGGUCGAACAGGCCGCAUGAUGACGGUACCUUUUUAGCAAGCACCGGCUAACUCUGUGCCAGCAGCCGCGGUAAGACAGAGGGUGCAAACGUUGUUCGGAAUUACUGGGCGUAAAGCGCGUGUAGGCUGCUUGGAAAGUCGGAUGUGAAAGCCCUGG
rnacentral:rRNA from 1 species